CCGUGGAGUGGGUAUGGUGGAGGCCUCGGCGGCUUGAGCGCGCUCUCCGAGCCCAGGGGAUCAAGGGCACCCACUACCGGUUCCUCCACGGAGACCUCAAGGACAUGGCCCGCCUCUCCAACGAGGCCCAGUCCAAGCCUAUGGCUCUCUCUCACUGCAUUGCCCCUCGCGUCCUUCCAUUCCUCCACCAAGUCAUCAACGACCACGGUAAACCUCUCUCCUAUUUUCGAUUCUUUGUGGAAUCCGAUGCUAUCGAUUAUUCCUUUAGAUCAACGUCUAAUGUCCGGCCAGUAGAUCUAGUGUUGGCAGAUGGUUGACCUGCCAUGGUAGAGAUGGGAGUAGUUUCUUACUUGUUGAGGUUGGUGUUCUCAUGAUUUUCGUACCUAUAUUUGGGAGUUGGGACUCUGUGGGUAACAUUGGUUGGAGGGCCAUGUUUGUGCAGCUCUUCAGCUCAGCAUAAUCAGCAUCCACGCAUGGAUGUCUCAUUCACGCCCUGCCAACUUACCAUUUCACUCAUAACAUUUUUAUAACCAUGCGUACGUCCACAGGAUUCCCUUGUAGCUUUUCAUUUAAGAUCUCGGCUUCUAGAAGAAGGAGGUAAGGCUGGCUAGCCUCCUGUCCUUUUAUUAACUGGGCGAGAGAGCGCUUUUCCCCUCCACUCUUAUGUAGCUCCUCUCGGUUGUCUUCUAUAAGAAGCGAGCGAGGUGUCCGUUCUGUGAGAGGCAAAACAAAGUAGAUGGGGUUGGGAUCCGUGGGGAUGGUAGGGAGCAUGAGUUGGGGAGCGGUGGGUCUAUUGCUAUUGGUGGUAUCGGCCGUGAGGGCUUUGGAGUGGGUGUGGUGGAGGCCUCGGCGGCUCGAGCGCGUCCUCCGAGCCCAGGGUAUCAAGGGCACCCACUACCGGUUCCUCCACGGAGACCUCAAGGACACGGCCCGGCUCUCCAACGAGGCCCGGUCCAAGCCUUUGCCUCUCUCUCACUGCAUUGCCCCUCGCGUCCUCCCAUUCCUCCACCAAAUCAUUAACGAUCAC
rnacentral:lncRNA from 1 species